GAAAUGCGAUAAGUAGUGUGAAUUGCAGAAUUCAGUGAAUCAUCGAAUCUUUGAACGCACAUUGCGCCCCUUGGUAUUCCAUGGGGCAUGCCUGUUCGAGCGUCAUUUGUACCCUCAAGCUCUGCUAGGUGUUGGGUGUUUGUCCCCGUCUCCGCGCGUGGACUCGCCCCAAAGUGAUUGGCAGCCGGCGUACUGGUCCCGGAGCGCAGCACAUGUCGCGCAAACGAGUGCCUUGGUACGGCGGCGUCCAUAAGCCCCUCUCUCACGCUCUUGACCUCGGAUCAGGUAGGGAUACCCGCUGAACUUAAGC
rnacentral:misc_RNA from 1 species